rnacentral:rRNA from 1 species
UAGAGUUUGAUCAUGGCUCAGGACGAACGCUGGCGGCGUGCCUAACACAUGCAAGUCGAGCGAGGUCCAUUCAGUAGCAAUACUGAUGAAGACCUAGCGGCGAACGGGUGAGUAACACGUGAGAAACCUGCCCCAAAGUCUGGGAUAACCCGGGGAAACCCGAGCUAAUACCGGAUACCUUCUUUUGACCGCAUGGUCAGCUGAAGAAAGUUUUUUCGCUUUGGGAGGGUCUCGCGGCCUAUCAGUUAGUUGGUGGGGUAACGGCCUACCAAGACAUCGACGGGUAGCUGGUCUGAGAGGACGAUCAGCCUCACUGGGACUGAGACACGGCCCAGACUCCUACGGGAGGCAGCAGUGGGGAAUCUUGCGCAAUGGGCGAAAGCCUGACGCAGCAACGCCGCGUGCGGGAUGAAGGCCUUCGGGUUGUAAACCCCUUUCAGGAAGGACGAAGCCACUCGGGUGAAUAGCCCAGAGGGUGACGGUACUUCCAGAAGAAGCCCCGGCUAACUACGUGCCAGCAGCCGCGGUAGCCCA